GAUGAAGAACGUAGCGAAAUGCGAUAAGUAAUGUGAAUUGCAGAAUUCAGUGAAUCAUCGAAUCUUUGAACGCACAUUGCGCCCGCCAGUAUUCUGGCGGGCAUGCCUGUUCGAGCGUCAUUUCAACCAUCAAGCCCUGCUUGCGUUGGGGUCCUGCGGCCGCCCGCAGGCCCUGAAAACCAGUGGCGGGCUCGCUAGUCACACCGAGCGCAGUAAUACAUCUCGCUUUGGGCGUGCGGCGGGUUCUUGCCGUUAAACACCCCCUUUUUACCAAGGUUGACCUCGGAUCAGGUAGGAAUACCCGCUGAACUUAAGCAUAUCAAUAAGCGGAGGA
rnacentral:misc_RNA from 1 species